GAAUUAAUUUCCCCCUUUUAUUUUCCCUUGUCUUUUCUCUACUCAGGAGUAUAGUUCAAAGGAUUGGAGGGAGAAAAUGAUGUUUCGUUGCCUCCCCCCCCAGGGCUGAGUGAGGCAAGGGGAGCUCUGCUCUUGGCUCCCUUGGGUGCUGAGGUUGAAGUUAGGGAAACGGAAUGCUCCAUGGACUAGGUAAGUUAUUUCCAACAGCUUUUCUGCCUCCCUCCCUCCCUCCAUGAUCCCGAAUGGCAGGCUGCUGGAAGAAAUUUGUUGGUAUUUGCUGUGUUAUAACAGCAUUUGCUAGUUCUUAAAUUAAAAGGGGGUUAAUAAGUGUGCUGAUGGUGGGCUUGGAGGGGAGGAGGGGGCUGCAGCUCUGGUAGCCAGGUGAGGAUGGCUGGGGCAGUGCUGCUAUCCAAGCCCCUCUUUUCUCACCCUGACCUUUCUAGUUUGAUGCAGAUGUCACUGUGCCCACCACCAAGAUCCUCACCAACCUGGAGAAAUCCCAGCUGGGUGUCCACAGCUGUGAGAUUCACUGCCAAGGAUUCAGCCACUCGCUCCUGUUGCUGCUGCACCAGGUAGGUGCCACAACACCUCCUCUUCUGUUUUGGCCUCUGGGGUUUCCACGUGCCACAGAGCAUUGGCAGGUGGUCAAGACUAGUAUCAGGAAGGCCAUAGCAAAACCCCCUUACCCUUGUCUGCCCAAGACCAAAGAUUACCCUUCAGGGAUGCAGCUGAUGGAGAGACAGAUUCCCUCCGAUUUAUUUCUAUUUACCUCCUGCAGAUUUCCUCAGACCCCUCUGUGCCCACACGGUCUGCUUGUUGCUGUUGCAGUGUGAAUACAGGGAACCUUCCCCCCAGACAACCGAUUUUGGCAGGAUUGGGACUCAGCUCAGAGGCCCCCAAGUGUUCAGAUCAACUGCUCCAUCAAGGCCUGCAUGGAAAAGAAGGAUUUCCCCUCCCUCAGACCUUCUCCCCACUGGCCCGGAGGUUCAGGACUGAGCCAAAGCUCGCUGCUGUCCAUUGGAUGGUUCCUCUCAUCUGCAGUUAGGUGUUGGAUCAGAGCCCGUCCCUGAAAAAUCAUAACCGUUAACAGAGGUGUCUGGGAGCGAUCGCAGCAGUGAUGGGAGAUGGAAGAGCACCAGAGGGGGCCUUUGUUACUGCGAGCCAAGGAGGAGUUUGGGAAGAGCUGCUCCAAGUACUCAGACAUUGUUAUUAAUUGCUUCCUUGCUUCCUGCACCGCUGCGUUCGUCUUAGUGUGGGCUUUGCUGUGCAGCAGAAAAGAUGUCUGUUAAUAGAAUGCAUUCAGUCAGAGCUGCAAACUGCAAAACCCUUCUGUUUGCAGCCGCCUUGGGGUGCCUGCCACACAUUCCCUGAGAGGAUGAGCACGUGGGAUGGGUGCCUCCACCCAACGGGCAGCUAAUUACAGCCUGGCUCGUUAGCUGUCCUAUGGGAAAUUAGUCCCGGCCCUGGGGAACACACAAACUGAAUUGUCUUCAUUUAGAUGGAUUGGAAGUUUUAGAAAAAGGAAGUUAAAGAGGCAGUGAAUAACCAUGCAGCAAACCAGCUGGGUUUCAGAGGGUUGGCCCUUGGGUUCUUCUUGAGUCAUGAGUUGCUUCCAGAGCUUCCGCUUCAGGCUGUAACACCGUUCUCAUUGUGGGCUUGGUUUAUGGAGAAUAAAGGAUUCUGAUCAGCUUUCA
rnacentral:lncRNA from 1 species